rnacentral:rRNA from 1 species
UAGGGAAUCUUCGGCAAUGGACGAAAGUCUGACCGAGCAACGCCGCGUGAGUGAAGAAGGUUUUCGGAUCGUAAAACUCUGUUGUUAGAGAAGAACAAGGACGUUAGUAACUGAACGUCCCCUGACGGUAUCUAACCAGAAAGCCACGGCUAACUACGUGCCAGCAGCCGCGGUAAUACGUAGGUGGCAAGCGUUGUCCGGAUUUAUUGGGCGUAAAGCGAGCGCAGGCGGUUUCUUAAGUCUGAUGUGAAUGCCCCCGGCUCAACCGGGGAGGGUCAUUGGAAACUGGGAGACUUGAGUGCAGAAGAGGAGAGUGGAAUUCCAUGUGUAGCGGUGAAAUGCGUAGAUAUAUGGAGGAACACCAGUGGCGAAGGCGGCUCUCUGGUCUGUAACUGACGCUGAGGCUCGAAAGCGUGGGGAGCAAACAGG